CAGUAGCCGCGGUAAUACGAAGGGGGCUAGCGUUGCUCGGAAUUACUGGGCGUAAAGGGAGCGUAGGCGGAUCGUUAAGUUGGGGGUGAAAGCCCGGGGCUCAACCUCGGAACUGCCUUCAAUACUGGCGAUCUUGAGUAUGAGAGAGGUGUGUAGAACUCCGAGUGUAGAGGCGAAAUUCGUAGAUAUUCGGAAGAACACCAGUGGCGAAGGCGACACACUGGCUCAUUACUGACGCUGAGGCUCGAAAGCGUGGGGAGCAAACAGGAUUAGAUACCCCGGUAGUCCCUGUCUCUUAUAC
rnacentral:rRNA from 1 species